GAUGAAGAACGCAGCGAAAUGCGAUAAGUAAUGUGAAUUGCAGAAUUCAGUGAAUCAUCGAAUCUUUGAACGCACAUUGCGCCCCUUGGUAUUCCGAGGGGCAUGCCUGUUCGAGCGUCAUUAUAACCCCUCAAGCUCAGCUUGGUGUUGGGGCCUGCUGCACUGGCAGCCCUUAAAAUCAGUGGCGGCGCCAUCUGGCUCUAAGCGUAGUAAUUCUUCUCGCUAUGGAGUCCUGGUGGAUGCUUGCCAUCAACCCCCAAUUUUUCUAUGAUUGACCUCGGAUCAGGUAGGGAUACCCGCUGAACUUAAGCAUAUCAAUAGCGGAGGA
rnacentral:misc_RNA from 1 species